rnacentral:sRNA from 1 species
UUUUCUGCCAUGUGACAAAACUCACUUUCAGGUUUCUGCUCAAGUAUUACUUUCUCAAAGAGGUGUCCCACAGGACCUUAUCUGAAAUAGCUUUACAGGAGCAGAAUCUUAAAUACUCUUUACCGUGAUUUAAUUUUCUUUAAAACAUUUAUCACUCCCUGACAUUAUUUUGUUUAUUGAUUGAUUGUGCCAUCCCUCUACUAUAAUGUAAAGUCUGUGAAAUCAGGGGUCUUCUUCACUACUAUAUCCCUAGCCCUCGAGCAGUGCCGAACACACCAUAGCCACUCAAUACAUGUUUGUUGAAUGAAUGAGUGACAGAGUUUCAUACCUUGUAAUCCGUAAUUAAAGAGAAACUUCACCAAGUGAUUUUGGUCUAUUUCUUCUACCUGCAUAUGAACCAGUAAUCUAUAGGAAUGGUAGAAAUCUAUCCUAGUUGAGGGCCAGUGGCUAAGGAAUAAAUGCUAAAUAAAAAGUAACUGUAAUUAUAAUAGUAAUCACUUGUGCUUAUGAUACUCAAGUCAGCGUCCUUCACAUUGGCUUUGCCAUACCUGGUCUUAUCCAGGCUGAGUCCUUCUGAAGAGUUAAUAAGACCAGCUUAUAUUCCCUGUAACUUCUGGAGCUUGGUUCCCCCUUGGUUGGAUAUAGGGUAUUGAUGGCAAAAGAGAGAGAACAUGUACUGGAUUCCCAUUCCCUAUAUCCUUUUCAUUGAUCCACCGUAGGUUUAUUUCUUAGUCUCUGCUUUGCAUAGCUACCUAUAAGUAUAGCGUAGUAUAAACGUGAUACUAAAUCUUGGAGUCUAUCCAUUUAACCAUUUGGAGUAACAAAUUGUAAAAUGUCUUUGGUCAUCCUGAAACAGUCUGGGAUUAGUGGACCAGUUCACUGUUAAGUUACCAGUCCUUGACCUCAUUUUGUCCAUUUGACAGCAUUGUUUGUGCUCCCCAAACCUAAAGUGAUCUCCUGUCUAGAGCAAGGGGAAGAGCCAUGGGUUCAAGUAUCCCCGGAGUUUAAGGAUAGUGCCGGAAAAUCUCCUACAGGGUUAAAGCUCAAAAACGACACUGAAAAUCGUCAGCCUGUAUCUCUUUCUGACUUAGAAAUACAAGCAUCAGCAGGCGUCAUAUCAAAAAAGGCCAAGGUAAAAGUUCCACAGAAAACAGCAGGCAAAGAAAAUCAUUUUGAUAUGCACAGAGUGGGAAAAUGGCACCAAGAUUUUCCAGUGAAGAAAAGAAAGAAACUUUCAACCUGGAAACAAGAGCUGCUCAAACUUAUGGAUCGUCACAAGAAAGACUGUGCA